UACGAAGGGGGCUAGCGUUGUUCGGAAUUACUGGGCGUAAAGCGCACGUAGGCGGGUUGUUAAGGCAGGGGUGAAAUCCCGGAGCUCAACUCCGGAACUGCCUUUGAUACUGGCAACCUAGAGGCUGGAAGAGGUUAGUGGAAUUCCCAGUGUAGAGGUGAAAUUCGUAGAUAUUGGGAAGAACACCAGUGGCGAAGGCGGCUAACUGGUCCAGUACUGACGCUGAGGUGCGAAAGCGUGGGGAGCAAACAGG
rnacentral:rRNA from 1 species